UACGUAGGGUUCAAGCGUUAUUCGGAAUUACUGGGCGUAAAGCAUAUGUAGGCGGUUUAAUAAGUUAGAAGUGUAAUCCCUGGGCUUAACUCAGGAACUGCUUCUAAAACGGUUAGACUCGAGUAUGGUAGAGGGCAGUGGAAUUCUUGGUGUAGGGGUAAAAUCCGUAGAUAUCAAGAGGAACACCGAAAGCGAAGGCAGCUGCCUGGGCCAUUACUGACGCUGAGAUAUGAAAGCGUGGGGAGCAAACAGG
rnacentral:rRNA from 1 species